rnacentral:rRNA from 1 species
AUGAACGCUGGCGGCGUGCCUAAUCCCUGCCAGUCGAGCGAACAGACGAGGAGCUUGCUCCUCUGACGUUAGCGGCGGACGGGUGAGUAACACGUGGAUAACCUACCUAUAAGACUGGGAUAACUUCGGGAAACCGGAGCUAAUACCGGAUAAUAUAUUGAACCGCAUGGUUCAAUAGUGAAAGACGGUUUGCUGUCACUUAUAGAUGGAUCCGCGCCGCAUUAGCUAGUUGGUAAGGUAACGGCUUACCAAGGCAACGAUGCGUAGCCGACCUGAGAGGGUGAUCGGCCACACUGGAACUGAGACACGGUCCAGACUCCUACGGGAGGCAGCAGUAGGGAAUCUUCCGCAAAGGGCGAAAGCCUGACGGAGCAACGCCGCGUGAGUGAUGAAGGUCUUCGGAUCGUAAAACUCUGUUAUUAGGGAAGAACAAAUGUGUAAGUAACUAUGCACGUCUUGACGGUACCUAAUCAGAAAGCCACGGCUAACUACGUG